GAUGAAGAACGCAGUGAAACGCGAUAAGUAAUGUGAAUUGCAGAAUCCAGUGAAUCAUCGAAUCUUUGAACGCACAUUGCGCCCGCCAGCAUUCUGGCGGGCAUGCCUGUUCGAGCGUCAUUACAACCCUCGACUUCCCUAGGGAAGUCGGCGUUGGGGACCGGCAGCACACCGCCGGCCCUGAAAUGGAGUGGCGGCCCGUCCGCGGCGACCUCUGCGUAGUAAACCAACUCGCACCGGAACCCCGACGUGGCCACGCCGUAAAACACCCAACUUCUAAACGUUGACCUCGAAUCAGGUAGGACUACCCGCUGAACUUAAGCAUAUCAAUAAGCGGAGGA
rnacentral:misc_RNA from 1 species